CCCGCCCCUCCAAGGUCAGCAAGCGGGCCAAGCAGGAAUCCACUUUCUUCUCCAAGGCCUGGAUGGCGGCCACCACCGUCCACAGUGUGAUCUCCGUGGAGUACAGCUCCAUUUCCCGUUUCCCUCCCGGCACCUAGCAGAGCCGGCAAAAGCAGGAAAAUCACUACAGCUGAAGCUCGACAUGACUGAAACCAACAUCUGGGAAGUCUUCCCACCACUCCCUCUUAACCCCCC